rnacentral:rRNA from 1 species
AUUGAACGCUGGCGGCAGGCCUAACACAUGCAAGUCGAGCGGAGCGGCGGACGGGUGAGGAAUGCCUAGGAAUCUGCCUGGUAGGGGGGGAUAACGUCCGGUAACGGGCGCUAAUUACGCAUACUAUCAGAUGAGCCUUGGUCGGAUUAGCCAGUUGGUGGGGUAAAGGCCUACCCAGGCGACGGUCCAUAACUGGUUUGAGAGGAUGAUCAGUCACACUGGAACUGAGACACGGUCCAGACUCCUACGGGAGGCAGCAGUGGGGAAUAUUGGACAAUGGGCGAAAGCCUGAUCCAGCCAUGCCGCGUGUGUGAAGAAGGUCUUCGGAUUGUAAAGCACUUUAAGUUGGGAGGCGUUACCAACAGAAUAAGCACCGGCUAACUUCGUGCCAGCAGCCGCGGUAAUUC